UGCUUCGGCCGGGAGUCGAACCUGUCAGCUGCUUUGAAGACAGCUAUGCUAACUAUUAUACCACCGACGC